UUAAGUUAUUAAGGGCGCACGGUGGAUGCCUUGGCACUAGAAGCCGAUGAAGGACGUUACUAACGACGAUAUGCUUUGGGGAGCUGUAAGUAAGCUUUGAUCCAGAGAUUUCCGAAUGGGGAAACCCAGCAUGAGUUAUGUCAUGUUAUCGAUAUGUGAAUACAUAGCAUAUCAGAAGGCACACCCGGAGAACUGAAACAUCUUAGUACCCGGAGGAAGAGAAAGAAAAUUCGAUUCCCUUAGUAGCGGCGAGCGAAACGGGAAGAGCCCAAACCAACAAGCUUGCUUGUUGGGGUUGUAGGACACUCUAUACGGAGUUACAAAGGACGACAUUAGACGAAUCAUCUGGAAAGAUGAAUCAAAGAAGGUAAUAAUCCUGUAGUCGAAAAUGUUGUCUCUCUUGAGUGGAUCCUGAGUACGACGGAGCACGUGAAAUUCCGUCGGAAUCUGGGAGGACCAUCUCCUAAGGCUAAAUACUCUCUAGUGACCGAUAGUGAACCAGUACCGUGAGGGAAAGGUGAAAAGCACCCCGGAAGGGGAGUGAAAUAGAACCUGAAACCGUGUGCUUACAAGUAGUCAGAGCCCGUUAAUGGGUGAUGGCGUGCCUUUUGUAGAAUGAACCGGCGAGUUACGAUUUGAUGCAAGGUUAAGCAGUAAAUGUGGAGCCGUAGCGAAAGCGAGUCUGAAUAGGGCGUUUAGUAUUUGGUCGUAGACCCGAAACCAGGUGAUCUACCCUUGGUCAGGUUGAAGUUCAGGUAACACUGAAUGGAGGACCGAACCGACUUACGUUGAAAAGUGAGCGGAUGAACUGAGGGUAGCGGAGAAAUUCCAAUCGAACCUGGAGAUAGCUGGUUCUCUCCGAAAUAGCUUUAGGGCUAGCCUCAAGUGAUGAUUAUUGGAGGUAGAGCACUGUUUGGACGAGGGGCCCCUCUCGGGUUACCGAAUUCAGACAAACUCCGAAUGCCAAUUAAUUUAACUUGGGAGUCAGAACAUGGGUGAUAAGGUCCGUGUUCGAAAGGGAAACAGCCCAGACCACCAGCUAAGGUCCCAAAAUAUAUGUUAAGUGGAAAAGGAUGUGGCGUUGCCCAGACAACUAGGAUGUUGGCUUAGAAGCAGCCAUCAUUUAAAGAGUGCGUAAUAGCUCACUAGUCGAGUGACACUGCGCCGAAAAUGUACCGGGGCUAAACAUAUUACCGAAGCUGUGGAUUGUCCUUUGGACAAUGGUAGGAGAGCGUUCUAAGGGCGUUGAAGCAUGAUCGUAAGGACAUGUGGAGCGCUUAGAAGUGAGAAUGCCGGUGUGAGUAGCGAAAGACGGGUGAGAAUCCCGUCCACCGAUUGACUAAGGUUUCCAGAGGAAGGCUCGUCCGCUCUGGGUUAGUCGGGUCCUAAGCUGAGGCCGACAGGCGUAGGCGAUGGAUAACAGGUUGAUAUUCCUGUACCACCUAUAAUCGUUUUAAUCGAUGGGGGGACGCAGUAGGAUAGGCGAAGCGUGCGAUUGGAUUGCACGUCUAAGCAGUAAGGCUGAGUAUUAGGCAAAUCCGGUACUCGUUAAGGCUGAGCUGUGAUGGGGAGAAGACAUUGUGUCUUCGAGUCGUUGAUUUCACACUGCCGAGAAAAGCCUCUAGAUAGAAAAUAGGUGCCCGUACCGCAAACCGACACAGGUAGUCAAGAUGAGAAUUCUAAGGUGAGCGAGCGAACUCUCGUUAAGGAACUCGGCAAAAUGACCCCGUAACUUCGGGAGAAGGGGUGCUCUUUAGGGUUAACGCCCAGAAGAGCCGCAGUGAAUAGGCCCAAGCGACUGUUUAUCAAAAACACAGGUCUCUGCUAAACCGUAAGGUGAUGUAUAGGGGCUGACGCCUGCCCGGUGCUGGAAGGUUAAGAGGAGUGGUUAGCUUCUGCGAAGCUACGAAUCGAAGCCCCAGUAAACGGCGGCCGUAACUAUAACGGUCCUAAGGUAGCGAAAUUCCUUGUCGGGUAAGUUCCGACCCGCACGAAAGGCGUAACGAUUUGGGCACUGUCUCAACGAGAGACUCGGUGAAAUCAUAGUACCUGUGAAGAUGCAGGUUACCCGCGACAGGACGGAAAGACCCCGUGGAGCUUUACUGUAGCCUGAUAUUGAAAUUCGGCACAGCUUGUACAGGAUAGGUAGGAGCCUUUGAAACGUGAGCGCUAGCUUACGUGGAGGCGCUGGUGGGAUACUACCCUAGCUGUGUUGGCUUUCUAACCCGCACCACUUAUCGUGGUGGGAGACAGUGUCAGGCGGGCAGUUUGACUGGGGCGGUCGCCUCCUAAAAGGUAACGGAGGCGCUCAAAGGUUCCCUCAGAAUGGUUGGAAAUCAUUCAUAGAGUGUAAAGGCAUAAGGGAGCUUGACUGCGAGACCUACAAGUCGAG
rnacentral:rRNA from 1 species